rnacentral:lncRNA from 1 species
AGACUUAGGGAUGGAAACAGAGGACAAAGAAGAUAGAAAAACAUAAUAGGGUGAUGACAAACAAUAAUAACUUAAACCGAUAUAAUGGGGAUUAGGAUUAAGGGUGUUCCGUAAACCUUUUCGAAGUGCUAUCGGAAGAGACAAGUCCACAGUAGGAGCAGGGUCAGGUGCAGGACGUAAAUCAACCGGGCCGGAUGCUGGGCGAGGACGACGAUGAUAUGUCAAGAGUGGAGUGUCUUGUG